rnacentral:rRNA from 1 species
CAUAGGUUAAUGAGGCGAACCGGGGGAACUGAAACAUCUAAGUACCCCGAGGAAAAGAAAUCAACCGAGAUUCCCCCAGUAGCGGCGAGCGAACGGGGAGCAGCCCAGAGCCUGAAUCAGUGUGUGUGUUAGUGGAAGCGUCUGGAAAGGCGCGCGAUACAGGGUGACAGCCCCGUACACAAAAAUGCACAUACUGUGAGCUCGAUGAGUAGGGCGGGACACGUGGUAUCCUGUCUGAAUAUGGGGGGACCAUCCUCCAAGGCUAAAUACUCCUGACUGACCGAUAGUGAACCAGUACCGUGAGGGAAAGGCGAAAAGAACCCCGGCGAGGGGAGUGAAAAAGAACCUGAAACCGUGUACGUACAAGCAGUGGGAGCACGCUUAGGCGUGUGACUGCGUACCUUUUGUAUAAUGGGUCAGCGACUUAUAUUCUGUAGCAAGGUUAACCGAAUAGGGGAGCCGAAGGGAAACCGAGUCUUAACUGGGCGUUAAGUUGCAGGGUAUAGACCCGAAACCCGGUGAUCUAGCCAUGGGCAGGUUGAAGGUUGGGUAACACUAACUGGAGGACCGAACCGACUAAUGUUGAAAAAUUAGCGGAUGACUUGUGGCUGGGGGUGAAAGGCCAAUCAAACCGGGAGAUAGCUGGUUCUCCCCGAAAGCUAUUUAGGUAGCGCCUCGUGAAUUCAUCUCCGGGGGUAGAGCACUGUUUCGGCAAGGGGGUCAUCCCGACUUACCAACCCGAUGCAAACUGCGAAUACCGGAGAAUGUUAUCACGGGAGACACACGGCGGGUGCUAACGUCCGUCGUGAAGAGGGAAACAACCCAGACCGCCAGCUAAGGUCCCAAAGUCAUGGUUAAGUGGGAAACGAUGUGGGAAGGCCCAGACAGCCAGGAUGUUGGCUUAGAAGCAGCCAUCAUUUAAAGAAAGCGUAAUAGCUCACUGGUCGAGUCGGCCUGCGCGGAAGAUGUAACGGGGCUAAACCAUGCACCGAAGCUGCGGCAGCGACGCUGAUGCGUUGUUGGGUAGGGGAGCGUUCUGUAAGCCUGUGAAGGUGUGCUGUGAGGCAUGCUGGAGGUAUCAGAAGUGCGAAUGCUGACAUAAGUAACGAUAAAGCGGGUGAAAAGCCCGCUCGCCGGAAGACCAAGGGUUCCUGUCCAACGUUAAUCGGGGCAGGGUGAGUCGACCCCUAAGGCGAGGCCGAAAGGCGUAGUCGAUGGGAAACAGGUUAAUAUUCCUGUACUUGGUGUUACUGCGAAGGGGGGACGGAGAAGGCUAUGUUGGCCGGGCGACGGUUGUCCCGGUUUAAGCGUGUAGGCUGGUUUUCCAGGC